rnacentral:lncRNA from 1 species
AUGAAGCCUACAGAAUUGAGUGGAGAAAAGUACUGGGGAAGAGGAAAUGAGUUAUACUUGAAACACUUGAUUUUUCCAGCAAGGCUCUACCUAGUGCUACGUGUUAAAAUUUUAAAUGUUCCCAAAGCAGUAUGUGUCAAAUGCUUGAUCAUCAACCUGCAGGAAUAUUGGAAGGGGCUGGAAACUACAGGAUGGAACGACACAGGAGGAACGCCACUGCUCUGGGGAAUCCCCUUGAAGGGAAUAUUGGAGCUCUGAACUCCCUUUGCUAACCGGCCACCGUGAAGUGAAUCUCUUCUCAGCGACCUGCUCCUGCCUUAGCAUUCUGUGUUAUCAGCGGCCACAGCAAGAGUGCCAGUGACUAUGGUCUGAAGCCAUAAAAUUGUGGCACAAAGUCGUUUUUCUCUCAAAAUUGGUUUAUCUCAAGUGUAUGUCCCAGACCUAGAGAGUCUUUUCAAUUUUUAUUAUUUUUAAUUUUUUAUUACCUUUUUUAUUUUUCUUACAUUUAGUGUAUAUUUUAGUAUUAUUUGACUAUUCCAAGUGUUUUCAAAUUAUUUCUAAAUCUUUUUUAUAUUGUUAGCUUAUUCCCAUUAAAGUACUGUAGCUUUUGACCUAUAUAGGGACUCUUUCUACCAUAAUAUACCAUUUGAUUUAUUCAAUUUCCCCUUUUCCUUGGUCUUGCUGUCUUUGGGUUUGAAUGACAUAUUGCUUUGUUUUCCUUUUG